rnacentral:rRNA from 1 species
UACGGGGGGAGCAAGCGUUGUUCGGAUUUACUGGGCGUAAAGGGCGCGUAGGCGGCGUGACAAGUCACUUGUGAAAUCUCCGGGCUUAACUCGGAGCGGCCAAGUGAUACUGUCGUGCUAGAGUGCGGAAGGGGCUACUGGAAUUCUCGGUGUAGCGGUGAAAUGCGUAGAUAUCGAGAGGAACACCUGCGGCGAAGGCGGGUAGCUGGGCCGACACUGACGCUGAGGCGCGAAAGCUAGGGGAGCAAAUGGG